ensembl:lncRNA
UUUUUGAUUUUUUUAGUUGUGUAUGGAAGCCAGCUGGUAUCUUAACACAUUGACUAGUUUGGAGAUUCCUGUAGUGUCACCCAGCGGGAGCACUAGUAUUUGGUCUUAUUUUGCUUUAUGGGAAUUUAGCAGAUUAGCAGUGACUUCAGAUAGCAAGUACUCUCUCUUAUACUCUCCACUUGUACUUGAGGUGAUAUAUUUAAGUUUCAAGACAGCCCAUUUAUCUAGCAUGUUCUCAGGGCUUCCUUAGCUGUUCCAAAUGUUGUUUAUUUUAUCUUGUUUCUCACCAUCAUGACUCUUUCUCUUUUUUUAUGGUCUUAAUCUAAUUGAACCCAGUGUCUGGUAAAGACAAAAUAUAUUGCAAUAUUGCGCUUAUUAGAAGGAAUGAAUAACUCCCCUUAGCCUAGAUCCUAAAACAAUAUGCGGUUGAUAAACUUCUCUUAUGGUGUUAUUUUCAAUUUGACAGUGAGUCUAGUCCUCCAGACUUUAGACUGACUUACUACUGUGGGAAUUGCUCAGGUGGCUAACUACUACAGAAUGAAAUACUACGUUGAUAUAAAUUCUGUGGGUUUCACUUGGGGGGGGGGGGGGGGAGAAAGAUGUUUGCAUUACUUUUGGCAAUCAAAUGCCUUAUUAAUUUUUCUCUUAUCCAAAUACAUCUUUUUUUGAUAAGCUGUACAUUUCUGUAUAUAAAAAUGUGAUGUGUUUUCAUUCAGAAUAGAAGCAUCUGGAAAUGUAUGUAAAGCCCAUAAAUAUAACAGCAAUAGCAGAGUGCUAACAUACUAUUUUUUUUUUUUUUUUUUUUUUUUUUUUUUGGUAAGCUGUAUUUUUUCCAUGAAACAGCGAAUGGUAAACAAUAACAUGCAUAAAUAUGAAUACUUUAUACCUAAUCCUCUAAAUAUGAAUUACACAGGAUGCAGAAACCAUUGUUUCUCUCCAGUUAUGGGAGUUGCGUAACUAACCAGACAUGGCACAAACAGAAUGUGCUGGCUGUUGCAGCGGUGAAUACAGUGCAAGGGGCACAUAUGGCUGAGCGAACACUUAAUUUAUGAUGAGAGUACUAGUGGGAAAUUGCCUACACUGUCUAUUCAGUGUUAGACAAUAAGUUAUCAAUCUGAAAAAUCCCUUAAGUAUCACAUUAUAUUAUUUUGCCCAGCGUUCCUGCAUCUCAACAGACCAACUUGUGAAGUAGCUCCAUGUAACUGAAGGAGGUGUAGUACAACUCAAUUUCCUUGGUGUAUAUUGUGCUCUCUCCUUCUCAUUAACCUGUCUUUGAAGGGGACCCUUCUUACCCAUUCUAACUUGGCACUAAGUAAUGCUGAGGUUUCAGUUGGGUCAGAUCCUGUCAGAGUGAAAUGUCUUGGUGUGCAGCUGUGUUAUGGAAGCUUGGUACAUCCAAGUUACAGCCCUUCAUUAGGAGCAGCUUCCCUCUUACUCACUGGCUUUUACCUGCUUGUAUCACAGAUGGGACAGAAGGGAAGCACUACAUAUAAAUGAGUAUCACUUCUCUCCAUACUGACAUAGUUCUGGUUUUGUUCUUUUUUGUUUGUUUUGUUCUUGCUUUUUGUUGUUGGCUUUUUGUGGGGUUUUUUUUUCCC